rfam:Schistosoma rodhaini strain Burundi genome assembly, scaffold: SROB_scaffold0019613
AUCCAGUUCAGGAGUCCCGAAUAGGACAAAACGCGCGUCCCGGAU